AUAAUAGUGAAUGGGGGAGUGCCGACUGUCUACCUACACAGGCUUCCUCCUACCGUCCCGCUGUUGUGAGGUGCUGUUUUCGGCUGUGACAUGUCACCGACAAGGGAGGCUUUUAGAAAAGACAAAAACAACAUGAAAAAAAACAUGGUGCUCCUCGCAAGAUUUAUGACAGAGGAGUGCAGGAGUGCAAAGAAUAAUCAAGAGCCAAGGACCACUUGUGGAGAG